GUUCUCGACUGUCCCAAACUGUCUCUCAGCGAACCAACUGUAGUGGGAACGGUCACUAGAUAUCCAGCGAGGAAAGAAGACCUGUAGAGCUUCACUUUGGUCUAGUCUGUAUAGUUCUGCGGGGGUGUAGACUAGGUGGGAGAGCAAUCGAUUCUGAAAAACCACUACCCUGUUUGGAAUUAUGCUUACCUAUCACAAGGAAUAGGACUAGAUAGAAAGUUUGGCUGGGGCGGCACACUUCGAAAGAGCAGCGAAGGUGUCCUAAGUUGAGCUCAGUGAGGACAGAAAUCUCACGUUGAGGAUAAGGCCAAAAGCUCAAUUUACUGUGCCUUUUUGUACUAGGAUCAGUUACGAAAGUAAGGCCUAACGAUCCCUAAAUAGCCUCAGGUGCGUGAGGAUUGGGGUGACAGACAAGUUACCUCCGGGACAACUGGCUUGUGGCUGCUAAGAGAUCAAAUCAACGCAGCUUUUUGAUUCUUCGAUGUCGGCUCUUCCUAUCCUAGUGAUGUACAAGUUGCUAAGGGUCGGAUUGUUCACCCGUAUUAGGGAUCGUGAGCUGGGUUUAGACCGUCGUGAGCCAGGUUUGUUUUAUCCUACUGGAUAUAGCAUCAUGAUAGUAGAUUGAUUUAGUACGAGAGGAACUGUUGAUUAUGGCCUCUGGUUAGCGAUUAUCGGAAACGGUAUGUCGCGCAGCUACGCCGUCUGGGAUAAUGGCUGAAAGCCUCUUAAGCCAGAAGCCCAUCUAGAAAGUGAUGCACGUGAUGUUGGACCGAUACGAAUAAUCAUACUCAAAAGGUCCGCUUCAUAGGUAACCCAAUGUAGAAGACAUUGUGUGAACGAAGGUACUGUAAGCAGUGGAGUGGCAUUACGUCCACGACCUGUUGAGGUUCAGCUUCGCUUCUAGGUUUCC
rnacentral:ncRNA from 1 species